UAACCUCCACAGGCUGGCUGGUCCCCAGGCUGGGCCAGGCCAGUAUCUCUUCUAAAGGCUCACCCUCCAACAUGACUAGGAGU
rnacentral:pre_miRNA from 1 species